AUUGAACGCUGGCGGCAUGCUUUACACAUGCAAGUCGAACGGUAACAGGCCGCAAGGUGCUGACGAGUGGCGAACGGGUGAGUAAUGCAUCGGAACGUGCCCAGUCGUGGGGGAUAACGCAGCGAAAGCUGCGCUAAUACCGCAUACGAUCUGUGGAUGAAAGCGGGGGACCGUAAGGCCUCGCGCGAUUGGAGCGGCCGAUGUCAGAUUAGGUAGUUGGUGGGGUAAAGGCUCACCAAGCCGACGAUCUGUAGCUGGUCUGAGAGGACGACCAGCCACACUGGGACUGGGACACGGCCCAGACUCCUACGGGAGGCAGCAGUGGGGAAUUUUGGACAAUGGGCGCAAGCCUGAUCCAGCAAUGCCGCGUGCAGGAAGAAGGCCUUCGGGUUGUAAACUGCUUUUGUACGGAACGAAAAGGCUCUGGUUAAUACCCGGGGCUCAUGACGGUACUGUAAGAAUAAGCACCGGCUAACUACGUGCCAGCAGCCGCCGUAACAC
rnacentral:rRNA from 1 species